rnacentral:rRNA from 1 species
GAUGAACGUUGGCGGCAUGGAUUAGGCAUGCAAGUCGAGGGAGAACCCGCAAGGGGGACACCGGCGAACGGGGUAGGAAUGCAUAGGUAACGUACCCUCAGGACGGGGAUAGCCAAGGGAAACUUUGGGUAAUACCCGAUGUGAUGUCAGGAUGUGAAUGCCUGCCAUCAAAGGUGAGAUUCCACCUGGGGAGCGGCUUAUGCAUCAUUAGCUUGUUGGCGGGGUAACGGCCCACCAAGGCUGCGAUGAUUAGGGGGUGUGAGAGCAUGGCCCCCGCCACUGGCACUGAGACACUGGCCAGACACCUCCGGGUGGCUGCAGUCGAGGAUCUUCGGCAAUGGGCGAAAGCCUGACCGAGCGAUGCCGCGUGCGGGAUGAAGGUCUUCGGAUUGUAAACCGCUGUCGGAGGGGAUGAAGUGUAUGGGAGCAAUCUCCUGUAUUUGACAGAGCCUCGGAGGAAGCACGGGCUAAGUUCGUGCCAGCCGCCGCGGUAAAAC